AUCGAACGCUGGCGGCAGGCCUAACACAUGCAAGUCGAGCGUGCGGCGGGCGGGUGAGUAAUGUAGGGGGAAUGCCGGUAACAUGCGGAUCACUACUGGAAACGGUAUCUAAAACCGCAUACUAUGGGAUAACCCAGAUGGGAUUAGCUAGUAGGUGAGGUAAUGGCCCACCUAGGCGACGAUCCCUAGCUGGUCUGAGAGGUUGAUAAGCCACACUGGGACUGAGACACGGCCCAGACUCCUACGGAGGCAGCAGUGGGGAAUAUUGCGCAAUGGGCGCAAGCCUGAUGCAGCCAUGCCGCGUGUAUGAAGAAGGCCCUAGGGUUGUAAAGUACUUUCAGUAGAGAGGCGUUACCGACAGAAGAAGCACCGGCUAACUCCGUGCCAGCAGCCGCGGUAAUAC
rnacentral:rRNA from 1 species